rnacentral:tRNA from 1 species
GCGGGUGUCGUAUAGUGGUAAUACCUCAGCUUUCCAAGCUGAUGCCAGGGGUUCGAUUCCCCUCACCCGCUCCA